ACCAAACACAAAAAUACUGUAAAUUAUUUUUACUUUUUAUUUUUACUUUUACAGUUACCUUAAAGGGUGGUAUAGUACAGCAGAGCAGCUGGCAGAUAGGGAAUUGUUUUUCCUCUCGGUUCCCGAUGCCCUGGGCUCUGACUGCUCGCCACACCUCUGCACACUCCCGCACUGCGCCGUGAGCACACGCAGCACAGCUGUGACAGCAUCCGGCAGGCCUGGGGUGCUUCCUUUAUUUGUUCACAUCUGCAGAUGUGCAUAAUGCGAGGUCUGUUCCAUGGAGCCUGCGGUCCUCGCUGGCUUCAGCAUCUCCCAAGGUGGUUGAUUCUCAGAACCAGACAGUUCUGGAUCUGAGCUUCCCAGGGAUCACUUUCUGGGAAAAGAAGGCCACUUUCUCCAAUGAUUAAGAUUUUGUGCUCUGGGCUGACAGUGUCAUGUACUGCUUACUUAUGACUCAGUCUAGGUUUGGUUCUGUUUCUGUUUGACCUCCUGGCUUGGUCAGUGCAGGAGGCUCACGGUCCAGAAAUUCCCCACGGUCGUCCUCAGACUCAUCCUGUGACCCAGAGUCAAAGAGCAGCUUGCUCUGCACUGCAGAGUAGCCAUUCUGAUUAGAUUCAAAUGCUGGCCUGCACGUGUAGGCCUUUCUUCUCUCAGCCUUUUCAGAUCUUGCGGAAGCAGUUCACGAAACAGUUGAUUUUGUCCCAGGCUGGCCUCAAACUCACAGUGAUCUUCCUGCCUCAGCUGAUCUCUAAACACGGAGACCAUCUGUUCAGAGGGUUCGACACUCAACUGGCCGCCGCUGCCCUCCUCCCGGUCCCAUACCCUUCACCUUGUACUCGACCUUUUCUUUUUUGCCUGAAGCUGCUGACAAGGACAGACUAG
rnacentral:lncRNA from 1 species